AGGACGAACGCUGGCGGCGUGCUUAACACAUGCAAGUCGAGCGGUAAGGCCCUUUCGGGGGUACACGAGCGGCGAACGGGUGAGUAACACGUGAGUAAUCUGCCCUCCACUUGGGGAUAAGCUUCGGAAACGGGGUCUAAUACCUGAUACGACAACUACCUGCAUGGGUUGGUUGUGGAAAGUUUUUUCGGUGGGGGAUGUGCUCGCGGCCUAUCAGCUUGUUGGUGGGGUAAUGGCCUACCAAGGCUUCGACGGGUAGCCGGCCUGAGAGGGUGACCGGCCACGCUGGGACUGAGACACGGCCCAGACUCCUACGGGAGGCAGCAGUGGGAAUAUGGACAAUGGGCGAAGCCUGAUCCAGCAACGCCGCGUGAGGGAUGACGGCCUUCGGGUUGUAAACCUCUUUCAGUACCGACGAAGUGCCCGUUGUGGUGGUGACGGUAGGUACAGAAGAAGCGACCGGCCAACUACGUGCCAGCAGCCGC
rnacentral:rRNA from 1 species